rnacentral:rRNA from 1 species
GAUGAACGCUGGCGGCGUGCUUAACACAUGCAAGUCGAACGGGAUCCAUCAGGCUUUGCUUGGUGGUGAGAGUGGCGAACGGGUGAGUAAUGCGUGACCGACCUGCCCCAUACACCGGAAUAGCUCCUGGAAACGGGUGGUAAUGCCGGAUGCUCCGACUCCUCGCAUGGGGUGUCGGGAAAGAUUUCAUCGGUAUGGGAUGGGGUCGCGUCCUAUCAGGUAGUCGGCGGGGUAACGGCCCACCGAGCCUACGACGGGUAGCCGGCCUGAGAGGGCGACCGGCCACAUUGGGACUGAGAUACGGCCCAGACUCCUACGGGAGGCAGCAGUGGGGAAUAUUGCACAAUGGGCGCAAGCCUGAUGCAGCGACGCCGCGUGCGGGAUGACGGCCUUCGGGUUGUAAACCGCUUUUGAUCGGGAGCAAGCCUUCGGGUGAGUGUACCUUUCGAAUA